rnacentral:tRNA from 1 species
GUGGUGGUAGCUCAGUGGGAGGGCACUUGCUUAGCACGCGAGAGGCACUGGGUUCAAUCCUUAGCACCACA